AGUGAACGCUGGCGGUAGGCCUAACACAUGCAAGUCGAACGGCAGCACAGUAAGAGCUUGCUCUUACGGGUGGCGAGUGGCGGACGGGUGAGGAAUACAUCGGAAUCUACUUUUUCGUGGGGGAUAACGUAGGGAAACUUACGCUAAUACCGCAUACGACCUACGGGUGAAAGCAGGGGAUCUUCGGACCUUGCGCGAUUGAAUGAGCCGAUGUCGGAUUAGCUAGUUGGCGGGGUAAAGGCCCACCAAGGCGACGAUCCGUAGCUGGUCUGAGAGGAUGAUCAGCCUCACUGGAACUGAGACACGGUCCAGACUCCUACGGGAGGCAGCAGCGGGGAAUAUUGGACAAUGGGCGCAAGCCUGAUCCAGCCAUACCGCGUGGGUGAAGAAGGCCUUCGGGUUGUAAAGCCCUUUUGUUGGGAAAGAAAAGCAGCAGGUUAAUACCCCGCUGUUCUGACGGUACCCAAAGAAUAAGCACCGGCUAACUUCGUG
rnacentral:rRNA from 1 species